CAAUGGGGGCAACCCUGACCGAGCAACGCCGCGUGGAGGAUGACGGCCUUCGGGUUGUAAACUCCUUUUCGGGGGGACGACACGGACGGUACCCCCGGAAUAAGCCUCGGCUAACUCUGUGCCAGCAGCCGCGGUAAGACAGAGGAGGCAAGCGUUGUCCGGACUUACUGGGCGUAAAGCGCACGCAGGUGGUGCGGCAAGUGCGGUGUGAAAGCGCACGGCUUAACCGUGCGAGGCCAUCGCAAACUGCCGGACUCGAGCCGUGCAGAGGCCAGUGGAAUUGCCGGUGUAGUGGUGAAAUGCGUAGAGAUCGGCAGGAACACCCAAGGGGAAGCCAGCUGGCUGGGCACGGGCUGACACUCAGGUGCGACAGCGUGGGGAGCAAACCGGAUUAGAUACCCUGGUAGUCAAGGGCGAAUUCGUUUAA
rnacentral:rRNA from 1 species